AGUGGGCGGGGUCUCGCUGAGGACCCCGGGCUGGGCGCCGCCGCCGGUUCGUCUCCGUUUCCCUGAGCCGCCUCCUUUCAACCUUGUCCACCGGUUGGCGUGGCCUUUGGUGCAGCGGCGGCGGCUCCCGUUCCUGCCCAGCUCUCUCCCCUCCUUUCCUCCCCUCCAGAUCCUGGAGUUCGCCCGUCAUGGCUUUACUCACUGCGGCCGCCCGCCUCUUGGGAGCCAAGGAGCUGACCUAUUGAGUGAGGUGGACUGCCUGAUUCACCUGACAGCUGCUGUUCCAGUAGAGUGACUCUACAGGUGGCAUGCAACCAGAAGCCAAAGCUCAGCUGCCACACCUCCAAGGCUGAGGGAGGAGCUGAGAGGUAGAAGUUCAGGAAUGACUCAGAGAAUGCAUCCUGUGUUGUUUUUGCUGCCCGGCAUGCGAGUGCUUCCUCCACG